CAAAAAGAUAAAGCAUCCCCACGUGGAAACCAAAGAAAAGAACAAGCUUCAUGGCAGUACUAGAAACCAAGGAGAGGCCCUUCCACCAAACCAUCAACACCCUAUGUGGACCCUCAUCCUGCCUCCUGACUCAAAGGACUGUGCUUAGUGAGAGAGUGCGCUUUAUUAAGAAAAAUCUUUUCAUCUGAAAAAAAUUCUUUUUUUUUUUAGACUAGAAAAACUGUACCCCUCAUAACACAGUGGCAGACUCAUUAACUGUCCUCACGGUGAAAGAUUGAUGGGUUUUAACACUGGAUAUACUGCAAUCAAGAUACAACCACUUCCCCCCUACCUUUAGGCAGUAAAUGUUCCUGCCCUGCACCCAUGGCUCCAGGAGGACAUUUACAGCCCUCUUUCCCCUUGUCACAUCUGAGCCUAUAAGAAGAAGACAGACCUGUUCCACUGUUUUUGUGAAAGAGCCAACCAUUGCAGAGGACCAUCCACUGACUCUAAUCUCUACAUGCUCACUGCAUAGAGAUAUCGCUCAUGAAGAUUCAGGAGUGAUUUCUGCACAAAUUCAGCCUAUUGUAUAUGCAGGAAGAGGGAUACUU